rnacentral:rRNA from 2 species
AGACCGAUAGCGAACAAGUAGAGUGAUCGAAAGAUGAAAAGCACUUUGAAAAGAGAGUUAAAAAGUACGUGAAAUUGUUGAAAGGGAAGCGUUUAUGACCAGACUUGGGCUUGGUUAAUCAUCUGGGGUUCUCCCCAGUGCACUUUUCCAGUCCAGGCCAGCAUCAGUUUUCCCCGGGGGAUAAAGGCGGCGGGAAUGUGGCUCUCUUCGGGGAGUGUUAUAGCCCACCGUGUAAUACCCUGGGGGGGACUGAGGUUCGCGCAUCUGCAAGGAUGCUGGCGUAAUGGUCAUCAACGACCCGUCUUGAAACACGGACCAAG